CCGCCAGCAAGGGCCCUCAACUAUGUAAACUGUGAAUUUGGAGGUUUCAACGCCUCAUAAAUAAUCCCCAGCGCUCAAUGGAACUUGAUGCCACAAGAAAUAAACACAUUCUCGAGAAAAUUUGCGUUGCUACUGCAGAUCGGCAUAGAGAUCAAGAUGCAAAGUAGGCAGUUCGGACCGGACCUGAUUUUCGUCUCAGCACCGUCAUCGAUCCGGAGGUUGCCCAGGAGGCCAAGAGCAGAUGGGAAAGCCUAAUCUAGGAAUUACCCAUUGACCUACAUGCGAGGUCCGGGCUCUGAAUUAUGUACAGGUUACCAGGUCCAGCACCAGAGCCGGAUCGGACCGGACCAUUUGCAUUCAUACAUAUAGAGGACCAGAGCGCGUUCCCAAGGUCCAGGUACGGCCAACAUAUUAUAUGUACACUAUUCGCUGCAAUUUAACCAGAAGACUACAUUGUAGUUUACACUGAUGUUGCUCCAUAUUCAACACUACUAUAUCCAGUUACAUAAACUGAGACUACUAUACAAAAAGAGGAGUGCAGGCUCGUUGUUAAGACAAAACUGCACAUGGACGAAAAAAAAAGGAUCAACCCUACAGACAGUGUCGGGCAGCAGUUCAUGUAGGCCAACACUAGUGGCUGCCAUCAGGGACAUCAUCCGCAGCUUUUCCAGCACACGACUUUGCCACGGACUCAAACAGCAUCUUAAUCUCAGGCGCAAUAUGUAUGAACGAUCGGUUCCAAAAGUUGUAGCGAGGGUUCUACAAGAGAAA